CAGAUCACAUGUCUCUUGUCUUACUGUGCAGGGAGAAAGAUUUUAAAGAGUUUGGUCAUGCUAAUGUGUUCUCUGAAUUACUGGCAGACUUGAAAGAAUUGGAGGACAGUGGGAUUGUUGCAUCAGAUGAAACUAGAGUCAAAGGAACUUUGUUUUGCAUUGCUGGUGAUAAUCUGGGCUCUCACUGUAUUGGUGGCUUCACUGAAAACUUUAGUUCUUCAAAGUACUUCUGCAGGUACUGCCUGAUAACGAAAUCUGAAUUUCAGGGUGCUGACCCAAAUCUGUGUGGACCAGAACGUACCAAAGAGAACUACAACUCUGCUGUUGAUCGCCUCCAGAUUGACAACACACCAGACGUCGAAGGAGUGAAGUUCAGACAUCUCGGAAAUGGGGGACAGCAUAAGAAGUUCCAUUACUAAGGUGCUGCCGGACCUGUCUGUCUCAAUCCUUGAAAUUGUACUGGAGGCACUACAAUCAUUAGGAGUGGAGACAUCUGAGGACUUGCAGUUCAUCAGUGAGACUGAUCUGAACUCUGUCCUGAGACCAGUUCAGGCAAGAAAACUGCUGGCUGCCUGGAAACAAACCACACCAAAUAUGGAAAUUUCAAGCCAGGCCAGCAUAUCGUCUCCAUCUUCUUGCUCCUCAUUUUCUGCCUCCCCCUCACCCAGUCCAAUAUAUUCUCUAGACUGGGUAGAUAACUUUAGAAUUCCAAGUGAAGAUUUUCCAGAAGACUUGAUCCAGUGUCUUCAGAGAGAGAAAAGACCAAAGCCUCGACUGCGGAGGGAGAUGAUCCGCAUCAUUGUGAAGGAGAUGAUGAAAGCCUGUGCCUCUCCAAGUAGAAGAGCCUCGACUGAAAUUGCAAAAAAACUGGUUGCGAUGUAUCCCAAGUCACUGCAGGAUGUCAUAGAGGGGGAUGUGGUAGGACAGGGGUACCACUCUUUGGUAAAACAGAUUCAGGCACGAAUUGAAAAUGUGAAGAGGUCUACUUUACCAGUGUUACAGAAGCGCAAACAGGGAGGAUCAGAUGACACCGAUGAAGUGACACCUGAAAAGUGAGCAUCUGUUCAAGACACAUAUGGCUGCAUAAAGUGGGACAUGAAGUUUUUGCCAGUCAGUGAGACACUGGAAACCCAGCAGGAGAAGAAGGAACGUAUGAAGAUUCUCAUUGAACAGACAAGCUUCAGUCAUGAAGAAGUAAAAACUCUAAUGAAAUGCACCUACUACUCUCAGCGCAAAGCAAUAAACAGCGGAGCAGACAUGCAAACCCUCAAAGAAGAGUGGCCUUUUUUGUUUCAGGCGAUUGGAAUGACAGUCCAUUUUGAAGAACUUACUGGGGUACCGCUGAAAGAGACUUUCCUCACCAGUCUGGAAAAGAAGGGAAAACGGCUUCUGGACUUUCUGAAAACCACUUGUGCAGACAAGAGCAAGCGUGUCUUGGAGGCUGUCAUAAAGCUUCGAAUGCAGAGGGGACAGCUGAAGGGCUGCUCAGAAGACGUGAAAGAUAUGAUGCUCCUCCUCCUCUCCUAUUUUGAUGAAAAAGAGGAGACCCUCUUCCACUAUGUUGAUGAAACAUGUCUGGCAAAAGAAGUCCAAGUGGAAAGCCUGCCUGUGACACCAUGUAUCAUUGUUUGUGCUACUACUGCCUGAACAUCCACUAUCCCCUGGAACUUGGCUCCACACUUGAAUUUCUUCAGAGGUGUUUCUUCAACAUUAACCCAGAGAAGGGAACAAAAGUUGAAAAAACUAAGAAGAAGACACUGCAUGUGAACCCAAGAGUACUCACCCUCAUCGCCGAUCUCUCUGAUCACGAGUGGCGAGAGACCGUUUAAAGACAUUUUGAACAGAUCGGUACAGUCAGUUUAACUGUACCUUGACUGGGAACUACUGUGUUGUUUAUGUUUUCAGUUAUCCCAGCUGAUAUUGAGUACUGUGCUCUUACCUGAUUUCUGUUAUCACAGGCAUGCUUUUCAGAGGUUUUGACCAUAUAUCUUUAAACAAUCCCUCUAACUGGGGAUUGUUACUGAGAACUGUACUUUUGAUGUUUCAGAGAUGUUCUAUAUUCUAUACAACAGAGUUUAAACUAUUUGAAUUUUGUAUUGCCCUAAUUAGCAAACAAGUUAAGUGUUGCACUGAACUGUUAACAUUGAACUUUAAACAGCACUGUCUGUUACAAACAUUACUUGACUUUAAUUGUUAUUAUAGCAUUUUGUAACUGUACGUUUCUGCAAAAGUGAUGUCGCAAGCUUAUGUGCUUGUUCAAAUUCAUGUUUUCCUGAAAAUGGUUAAUAUACAUUUGUUAGUUGACUAUAAGUGUAGACCUUAAGCAGUUUUGGCUUUCUUUUUUCAUAAUGCCAGGAGAAGCUUUAGAUGCUUGUUUUGCCUUUAUUUGUUUAAAGCAAUAUAUUUGACUAGCAGCAAGUGUGUGGAGGUCAAAAUAUGUUCAAGACAAUAAAAAUGUCAGUGAAGGACAUCUGAAAUUCUGUUGCAGUGGUUUUCUGAUGCAUGUGUUUUAAGGUUUAAGGGUGGUGGCACAGCUAAGACCCAAGAGUCUCUUUCAAGACACUGAAUUUGAGCAGAAACCAUAAGGAUACUCAAAGGACCUGUGACUCUCAGGAAAUGCAUCAAAUGAGAGGGACAGAUGAAACAGUUUCAAGACAAUGGCAGGAAAAACAUGCUGAAGAUUGAAACAAACCUUGGCUGGAAAUAUUUGAAGGUAUCUAGCCAGUCCACAAUGAAAGCUUCGGUGCACCCCAUGAGACUUCUGGCAGAAAUGAUGGCGCCUGUAUUCUUUGGUUUCCCUAAACAUCACACCCUGCCUGUUUAUACGAGGCUCUUCAAUUAAGUCUGCACCCAAAGAUUCAAUAAGAGGUAAGCAGUGGUAUUAUUCAAGUUUUGCUAAAGAAAGAUGGACAGGAGACACUAAUCUUAAUCAGCCGAGCUCAGGUUCAUGUCCAGGUGAGCAGUUUCAUACGCUAUAAAAUGUAGAUUGAAUGAUAGGUCUCAUCACCAUGCAUUCAGCCAUUAACUUCAAGUUCUAUGAUAAAUCAAUAGGAAACUUAAAUACGUUUUCCAACAAAUUAUGAUUGUGAUUAGGGCUGCGUUGUCUAUGUAUCACUUUUACAUAAGUAG